rnacentral:rRNA from 1 species
AGAGUUUGAUCCUGGCUCAGGACGAACGCUGGCGGCGCGCCUAACACAUGCAAGUCGAACGAGAGAGAGGGAGCUUGCUUCCUCAAUCGAGUGGCGAACGGGUGAGUAACGCGUGAGGAACCUGCCUCAAAGAGGGGGACAACAGUUGGAAACGACUGCUAAUACCGCAUAAGCCCACAGGUCGGCAUCGACCAGAGGGAAAAGGAGCAAUCCGCUUUGAGAUGGCCUCGCGUCCGAUUAGCUAGUUGGUGAGGUAACGGCCCACCAAGGCAACGAUCGGUAGCCGGACUGAGAGGUUGAACGGCCACAUUGGGACUGAGACACGGCCCAGACUCCUACGGGAGGCAGCAGUGGGGAAUAUUGCACAAUGGGGGAAACCCUGAUGCAGCGACGCCGCGUGGAGGAAGAAGGUCUUCGGAUUGUACACUCCUGUUGUUGAGGAAGAUAAUGACGGUACUCAACAAGGAAGUGACGGCUAACUACGUGCCAGCAGCCGCGGUAAAACGUAGGUCACAAGCGUUGUCCGGAAUUACUGGGUGUAAAGGGAGCGCGGGCGGGAAGACAAGUUGGAAGUGAAAUCUAUGGGCUCAACCCAUAAACUGCUUUCAAAACUGUUUUUCUUGAGUAGUGCAGAGGUAGGCGGAAUUCCCGGUGUAGCGGUGGAAUGCGUAGAUAUCGGGAGGAACACCAGUGGCGAAGGCGGCCUACUGGGCACCAACUGACGCUGAGGCUCGAAAGUGUGGGUAGCAAACAGGAUUAGAUACCCUGGUAGUCCACACCGUAAACGAUGAUUACUAGGUGUUGGAGGAUUGACCCCUUCAGUGCCGCAGUUAACACAAUAAGUAAUCCACCUGGGGAGUACGACCGCAAGGUUGAAACUCAAAGGAAUUGACGGGGGCCCGCACAAGCAGUGGAGUAUGUGGUUUAAUUCGACGCAACGCGAAGAACCUUACCAAGUCUUGACAUCCUGCGACGAUGCUGGAAACAGUAUUUUCCUUCGGGACGCAGAGACAGGUGGUGCAUGGUUGUCGUCAGCUCGUGUCGUGAGAUGUUGGGUUAAGUCCCGCAACGAGCGCAACCCUUACUGUCAGUUACUAGCAGGUAGCGCUGAGGACUCUGAUGAGACUGCCGGGGACAACUCGGAGGAAGGUGGGGACGACGUCAAAUCAUCAUGCCCCUUAUGACCUGGGCUACAAACGUGCUACAAUGGCGGCCACAAAGAGGGGCGAGACUGUGAAGUUAAGCGGAUCUCAAAAAAGCCGUCCCAGUUCGGAUUGUGGGCUGCAACCCGCCCACAUGAAGUUGGAGUUGCUAGUAAUCGCGGAUCAGCAUGCCGCGGUGAAUACGUUCCCGGGCCUUGCACACACCGCCCGUCA